CUGGCGGCGUGCCUAACACAUGCAAGUCAACUUGACUGAAGGAGCAAUCUGACAGUAGAGUGGCGCAAGGGUGCGUAACGCGUAAGUAACUUGCCCCAAGGUAAGGAAUAACGUCGAGAAAUCGGCGCUAAUACCUCAUAAUGCAGCGGAUCCGCAUGGAUAUGUUGUUAAAGGUUUACCGCCUUGGGAUAGGCUUGCGUCUGAUUAGCUAGUUGGUGUGGUAACGGCACACCAAGGCUACGAUCAGUAACUGGUCUGAGAGGAUGAUCAGUCACACUGGAACUGAGACACGGUCCAGACUCCUACGGGAGGCAGCAGUGAGGAAUAUUGGGCAAUGCUCGAAAGAGUGACCCAGCAACGCCGCGUGGAGGAUGAAGGUAUUCUAUAUCGUAAACUCCUGUGAGAGCAGACGAAAGACAGAUUAUUAAUCUGGAUGACUGUAUGCUCAGAGGAAGCCCCGGCUAACUACGUG
rnacentral:rRNA from 1 species